UACGUAGGGUCCGAGCGUUGUCCGGAAUUAUUGGGCGUAAAGAGCUCGUAGGCGGUUUGUCGCGUCUGCUGUGAAAUCCCGAGGCUCAACCCUCGGGCCUGCAGUGGGUACGGGCAGACUGGAGUGCGGUAGGGGGAGAAUGGAAUUCCUGGUGUAGCGGUGGAAUGCGCAGAUAUCAGGAGGAACACCGAUGGCGAAGGCAGUUCUCUGGGCCGUAACUGACGCUGAGGAGCGAAAGCGUGGGGAGCGAACAGG
rnacentral:rRNA from 1 species